GCGCUGUGGCGCGCGGAGGCAAUCAAUAAAAAAUGCAAACGCCAUGAAAUUCAGUUCAAUACCGACGGCCGGAAAUGAAAAGUAUCGGUUGUGGCAGCGGCUCUCCGUUUCCUCUUCGCCCUGCGUCCCUAAUUACUCUCAUCACGCCUAUUUCAACGGCAGGGCCUGUGCUCCUCUUUGCCUUCUGUCCUGAUCAGAAUCAGAACCAGAAUGUGAAUCAGAACCAGAAUGUGAAUCAGAAUCUGAACCAGAAUGUGAAUCAGAACUAUUCUUUGGAUCCAUGGAAUUUGUCCCGGCAUUUUUUACCCAGACAGAUCAUCUCUACACAGAGAGUGUAUUUAAAUUGGAAUAUGCAGUAUGAAGGGAUGUGCAGGGGAGUGACCGGGUACCAGAAGAGGUCUGGAGGUCCACGGUUCUCCCCGUGUCUUCUCUCUCUUUCGGGACAUCAGAUCCACACCAGAAGACGCCGCCUCCUCACCUCACACCUCCUCCUCCUCCUCCUCCUCCCGCAGAGACACAGAACACUUGGCACGUGCAGCCAGUUGACCUCCCCCCCCCCCCUCCCACACGCCCUCCCGGUGGUACUUGGAAGACCUUCUCUCGCCCGCCCUCCCCCGGACGCUCUCCGAGGACUCAGACUCACAAGGCCGCGCCCCCCCCCCCCCCCCAGUGAGAACAGUGACACGGCUAAAAGCCGGACCUUGACUGGAGGUCUGAGAGAAAAAAAGAAAGCAGUGUUGAGGACAGAAGCCGUGUUCCUGCACGGAGACAAAGAGCUGACAGGAGAAUGAAGCAGCUCUCUGACUCCACGUUGUAGCUUGAAUACUUUAAUACGCUGAGGAUUGCUUGGUCUUCUUCCACUGAUUGAUAUUCACACUCAGACUCGACACACAAUGAAACUGUUCUAAACGGCUCAGUCAAUGUGCUUUCUUUGGGAUAUGAAAUACAUUCAUAACGUUUUUCUCUAUUUGAUGAAAUUAGAAGAAAAAAAAAUACUGUUUAGUUAUUUUGGAACUUUCCAUUCCAGACCUCAUAUCAAUACUUUAUGUUAUUGUGACAGGAAGGCCGCUCGACAAAAGCAAAUCAAUUCCUAAAAUAAUGUAAUAAUCAGCACAUGGACGAAAUAAGGAACGGUAUAAAUAAACCGUGCGUGUGUUGGUUUGCUGGACCGCUGAGGAGUCCGUCGACUCCGGAGAGGAGGAGGAAAACCUUUUAUGGGCUGAAUACGGAGGUAUUAUCUGAGUAAUGUUACAUCGUCGGUGCUGCAGGAAGUCAUCCGUUAUCUUGUCAUCGCGCUGCUGGGAUUCCACGAAGGGAAGUGGUGCGGAUGGUAAUGAAAACAGGACGGAUGUCCGACCGCUGUGAAUAAAAGCGUCUGCAAGUCAGCAUGACAGUUGUAUGAAGGCGCCGUUGCUAAGGAGGCGUUUAGGUAUAUUAACCCUGUAAAGUAGCCUCUUUAAAUUCAUGAGUUCACCCUCCCUUCGCCCGCCUCCCCCAAAAUCCGAUCCAAUCCAAACUGGCUGCAAUAGUCCCGUCCCUCCUCCACGGGUUCACUCUCACUUCGGCGUUUGUGUGGAAGAUAAUGUCUCCUGUCACAGGUGGACGUUUCCCAACCCACAAGUCUUAAAACCUGCACCCUUCCACGUAAUUCCUCCUGCUUCUCUACAUUCUCGCUCCGUCUCGUCCGAAUCCUCCUCGUCUCUCGUUACCCGGCGGGCGCCUUCGUCCCUCCGAUCGUGACCCGUUCGUCACGAAGGUCGCCGCUUGUUUGCGGACGAGAAAUAAUGAGAUACAACGGACAGCGGGAACAAUCAAGCGGACGCGCUGCUCCGGCUUCUGCAGCGAGCACCGCCGGAGGCCGCUCUUCUCUCGGCUAAUUACGGCGGCGUGACACCCGCGUGGGCAGCGGGGUCGUUAAUGCCGAGAGACCCCCGGGGUGCUGCUUCCUCUUAACCGUGCGUUAAUGAUACAAGCAAACAAACACUCAAAGCAAAGGACAACUUUUUUUUUAUGUACGUGCUGUAUGAAUCACCCACGGCAGCCAACAAUCGAGGCUUUUAAAACAAAAGGAAAAGGAAAAAACGGAAACUGCGUAGGAGAGAUAUAAAGAGGAAAUACGCAAAACACCCUGAGUGUGUGUGUGUGCGUGUGUGUGUGCGUGAGUCGGGAGGAGGAUCUAGGUGACCUUCGGGGAACAGGUGUUGGUGUCAGCAUUUACUCUGUCACGGCACAUUGAGCAGCAUUGUACAAACACGCGGCAGAGGGAGGCCUGAGGGGGCUGAGGGGGAUGAGGGGGCUGAGGGGGACGCUGGGAUGCGGAGAGGAAACAUGUGAUGGUGCAUCAAAAGGAUUUGUGGACCUCAUGGAGAUUCUCCUUCGAUACCACACAGACGUAGACACGCGCGCUCGCAGUGGAGAGAGUUUCUUCAACACCACUUCUGAUGAUUUUCUGUGAUUUUCUUUUGAUACUUUGAUGCUAUCUGAUGCUAUUUUGCACCGUCACAGUAGAUACAGUUGCUAUUUGGUCUCCGGCGCGGUCUUAAGGAGGUCAGCACAAGAAGGCGGUGCGAGCCUCAGGACCCGUCAGAUUUACCCUGUGACUCCUUUGGGGACCCCGACCCUCAUCUUGUGAUCUACUGGACUAAACAAUAAUUAGACAUUAAGUAGUUUAAACUACCACAGCUUCAACGGGACACGGUGCUCCAGAGAACUCCGACUAAAUCACCGAAAAGUCCCGAAAUCUGUGCGGCGUAUUCAGAAUACGUCAAACCCAUGAAGAUGGUUUGUUUGUGCGAUGGAAAAAAAACAACAACGCUGCAAUCCUUUACCGCCAGAAACCAACCGAUUACGCCUGUCAGAGCGCCAUCAGCCCACGUGUUGUGUGCACGGCGCCGGUUUGACAGGAGCGAAUCCUUUAAGUGCUUCGUCCGGCCGC
ensembl:lncRNA